AGAGAGAGACAUGCGCGCAUAUCAAUAAGCGGAGGAAAAGAAACUAACAAGGAUUCCCUUAGUAACGGCGAGUGAAGCGGGAAGAGCUCAAAUUUGAAAUCUUCAAGGUUCUACCUUGACGAAUUGUAGUUUAUAGAAGUGUUUUCUGUUAGUGGAGUGGCAAAAGUUCUUUGGAAUAGGACAUCAUAGAGGGUGAGAAUCCCGUAUUUGGUCAUUCCUCCUAGCGUUGUGAUACACUUUCAACGAGUCGGAUUGUUUGGGAAUGCAGUCCAAAUGGGUGGUAAAUUUCAUCUAAAGCUAAAUAUUGGCGAGAGACCGAUAGCGAACAAGUACCGUGAGGGAAAGAUGAAAAGAACUUUGAAAAGAGAGUUAAACAGUACGUGAAAUUGUCAAAAGGGAAGCGUUUGACACCAGUGUUGUUUUUCCGAAAAUCAAUUACGAAUGUUUUAGUUUUUGAGGAGUUAUGACUUCAUCGGCUUGCUCCUUUCUUUAUGAAACUUUCUUAAUGCACUUUUCGGUUAACAAGUCAACAUCAAUUUCUUUUGUUGUAAAAGGGUAUGAGGAAGGUGGCUUUCUUUUCGGAGAAAGUGUUUAUAGCCUUGUGCCUCUGCAAUCGGAGAGAUUGAGGUCUGCAGCGUAGAUCCUUCGGGGUUAGAUACAGUUUGUGCUAAGUUAUAGCUUUUCAUAGACAACUUGUUGACUAUGUUUAGUCUUGUAGCUUACUCGCUGAUGCUAUUUUACCUACGCUUAGGAUGUUGAUAGUCACAGCGUGUAC
rnacentral:rRNA from 1 species